AUCCACCGAUAUUGGGGUACUGUGAAGUAGUGGUGGGCUUAACACAAUAUGGCCAUAUGGUGGAACUGAAUCCCCAUAUUUGUUUUCUUAUAUAGGCGUAUUUAAGUAGCCUUAUAAGAUUAUUAGUGUAUAUUUAUGAGUGCGCUGUAACUUAAUUUGUAUCAUGUAUGAAUAUUGGUCACUAUGGCGGCACUAUUCCUGUAGAAU